UACGGAAGGGGCUAGCGUUGUUCGGAAUCACUGGGCGUAAAGCGCGCGUAGGCGGCUUGGCAAGUGAGGCGUGAAAGUCCUGGGCUCAACCCGGGGACGGCGCUUCAGACUGCGGGGCUAGAGUCCGGAAGAGGGUGGUGGAAUUCCGAGUGUAGAGGUGAAAUUCGUAGAUAUUCGGAGGAACACCGGCGGCGAAGGCGGCCACCUGGUCCGGAACUGACGCUCAAGUGCGAAAGCGUGGGGAGCAAACAGG
rnacentral:rRNA from 1 species